GCAAUGGGCGGCUAGGGUUCCGGUCCGCGCGUCGCCGCGGGCGACUGGUCCGAGAGCCGCCAUCCCGGCCGCGCACAGGCCGGGACACACGGCGGGCCAAAAUCCCGGGAGGU
rnacentral:sRNA from 2 species